ACCCCAUGUCAGAUUUGCUCUAAAUGCUUUCGUUUUUGAGAUAUAAGCCAAAAACUGCAUUUGACCCCUAUGUUCUAUUUAAAGUAAGGGCGGCCAUGUUUUUUGACGGAUCAAAAAUCGAAGCACACACUUUGUGCAGGAUAAUCUAAGGAACUAUCAUGCUAAGUUUCAUCCAAAUCCAUUCAGUAGUUUCAGAGGAGAAGAUUUUUUAAAGUUAGCAAAUAUGAUGAACAAAUUGUGAAAAAUUGUCAUUAAAGGACAUUUACCCCUUAAUGGGUCAAUUGACAAUUUUGGUCAUAUUAACCUAUUUGUAGAUCUUACUUUGCUGAUCAUUUUUCCUGUUUACAGUUUAUCUUCAUCUAUAAUAAUAUUCAAGAUAAUGACCAAAAACUGCAAAAUUUCCUUAAAAUUA
rnacentral:lncRNA from 1 species